AAAUAGUGUAGUUUUAUAUUGUUUAUGUCCAAUGUUUGACCAUUUAUUUUAUUAGAAAUUUUUUAUGAUAAAUAUUUUUUAUUACAUGAUAAAACAUGAAUGGUACUUUAUGUGUGACUAUUUUUUUAAUAAUAAAAGUAUAUAAUUUUUUUAAAUAAGACGGACGGUCAGGUUAGACAUGAUAUAUACGGUUGCACUUGUA
rnacentral:pre_miRNA from 1 species